rnacentral:sRNA from 1 species
GUCUUGCGUAAGGGAUGGCAGUGGAAAUCCUUUUUUGGGGAAUUGGGCGCGAGCGAAGCGAGCGCUCAGUUCCCCAAAAAAGAUUGCAACGUACAGCCCGACCUGAA